rnacentral:rRNA from 1 species
UACGUAGGGUGCAAGCGUUGUCCGGAAUUAUUGGGCGUAAAGAGCUCGUAGGCGGUUUGUCGCGUCUGCUGUGAAAACUGGAGGCUCAACCUCCAGCCUGCAGUGGGUACGGGCAAACUAGAGUGCGGUAGGGGAGAUUGGAAUUCCUGGUGUAGCGGUGGAAUGCGCAGAUAUCAGGAGGAACACCGAUGGCGAAGGUAGAUCUCUGGGCCGUAACUGACGCUGAGGAGCGAAAGCGUGGGGAGCGAACAGG